CAACUUUCAGCAACGGAUCUCUUGGCUCUCGCAUCGAUGAAGAACGCAA
rnacentral:rRNA from 1 species